rnacentral:rRNA from 1 species
UGGGGAAUCUUCCGCAAUGGACGAAAGUCUGACGGAGCAACGCCGCGUGAGUGAAGACGGCCUUCGGGUUGUAAAGCUCUGUGAUCCGGGACGAAAGAGCCUGAGGUGAAUAGCCUAAGGAAGUGACGGUACCGGAAAAGCAAGCCACGGCUAACUACGUGCCAGCAGCCGCGGUAAUACGUAGGUGGCAAGCGUUGUCCGGAAUUAUUGGGCGUAAAGCGCGGGCAGGCGGCUUCCUAAGUCCAUCUUAAAAGUGCGGGGCUUAACCCCGUGAUGGGAUGGAAACUGGGAAGCUGGAGUAUCGGGGAGGAAAGUGGAAUUCCUAGUGUAGCGGUGAAAUGCGUAGAGAUUAGGAAGAACACCGGUGGCGAAGGCGACUUUCUGGACGAAAACUGACGCUGAGGCGCGAAAGCGUGGGGAGCAAACAGG